AUUUCUCUUUAUUAACGAUUUUUAUUCAUCAAUAUUGAUUUUUCUCAAAACUGUAUUUUGUUCUCUUUUCAUCUGCAUUAUAUUCUUCUUUUUUGUUCUCAUUAUUGUUUUUAUUUAUGUUCCUACUAUUUUUAUACCCAUCAUAUUGAAAAUUUCAUUUUUUUUUCUGAUACCCAUGAUUUUUUCUGCCCUUCACUGUUUUUUUUCUACUCUUCAUUAUUUUUCUAUGCGCUUCCUUGUUUUAAUUUUGAAAUCCGUUGUUUUUUUUUCUUCUGAUAAUGCUAUGUUUUCAUCGUUAGACUGAUUGUGCUUUGUUAUAUGAUCAUCGUCUUGCAUUUGUUAAGUUAUUGAAGUAGUGAUUUCAAUAUUUUAUAAUGAUUUUGUUUAACAUUAUCUUGUUACUUUCUUGUUGUUUUGUUGCCACUUUUGCCCAUAAUAAUUUAAAUUUGAUACACUUUUAAUUUUGAAAAUAUAUUUCUUUAUAACUAUUUACUUAGUGAUACUUAUGUGUAUGACAUUUUCAAUUUGAUAUUAAUUUUAGUAUUGUUUCUAUUAUUUUUUAAUAAUUUUAUGAAAAUAUACAUAUUAUCAUGUCACUGUCAAGUACGUUCAAACAUAUGAUAUGAUAAAAUAAUGUAACAUACUUUUUUACUCCGUGUGCACCAAACGCAUGAUAUGAUAAGUGUCUAUUAUGUCAUUAUUCUCUUCCGACUCUUGGCAGUUCUUUAUCCU
rnacentral:lncRNA from 1 species